rfam:Bacillus coahuilensis m4-4 1955101000013, whole genome shotgun sequence.
UCCAUGGUGACGUGGAAUCUGAAGGAAGCGAGCGGCAAACCUCCGGUCUGAGGAACACGAACUUCAUAUGAGGCUAAGGUAUCGUUGGAUGAGUUUGCUAAACAAAACGAAGUCCUUUCUGUCGAAGGCGAUAUCAAGUAAAUGGAGCAGAUAGGUGGAGGGAAAGAUUGCAUU